AAAAGACAGAACGUAAAGGUCAUUGAUAAAAAUGGGAACGUAAUUGGGCACGUGUAUAUCGAGCCCAAUGGUGAAAAAAUAUUCGUACCGGAAAGCAACGAGGUAAG